rnacentral:rRNA from 1 species
GACGAACGCUGGCGGCGUGCUUAACACAUGCAAGUCGAGCGGAAAGGCUCCUUCGGGGGUACUCGAGCGGCGAACGGGUGAGUAACACGUGAGUAACCUGCCCUUCACUCUGGGAUAAGCGCUGGAAACGGUGUCUAAUACUGGAUAUUUAGGCUCUGCUGCAUGGUGGGGUUUGGAAAGAUUUUUUGGUGGAGGAUGGGCUCGCGGCCUAUCAGUUUGUUGGUGGGGUGAUGGCCUACCAAGACGACGACGGGUAGCCGGCCUGAGAGGGUGACCGGCCACACUGGGACUGAGACACGGCCCAGACUCCUACGGGAGGCAGCAGUGGGGAAUAUUGCACAAUGGGCGAAAGCCUGAUGCAGCGACGCCGCGUGAGGGAUGACGGCCUUCGGGUUGUAAACCUCUUUCAGUAGGGAAGAAGCGAGAGUGACGGUACCUGCAGAAGAAGCGCCGGCUAACUACGUGCCAGCAGCCGCCGUAAAAC